rnacentral:tRNA from 2 species
GGAGGGUUGGCUGAGCGGUCUAUAGCGCUAGUCUUGAAAACUAGUUGGGGAGCAAUCCCCUCGGAGGUUCGAAUCCUCCACCCUCCGCCA